AUUUGUUGAUAUUUUGGAGAUCAAAGAUAUCAACUUUCGAAUUACCCGCCACAGUUCGUAGCCGUUCGUAGCCAGCUUCGGAAUCGAUCAUUUGCAUAAUACAUGAAUGAAGCGCCCGUAUGUAAACAACCGAUAAUGGCGAUAGCGACUUUCAUUCAGCUACCAACAUGAUCAAAAGAAAUGUUUCUACCAGUUACUCUUGAGGUUAGAGCGUUAUUUUAUUUUACUUCUAACCGACUUUUUAAUGAGGUAAUGAACGAACUUGCAUUUUAUUGUUUAUAUUUUCUAAAUUCUACCAUAAAUCAAAAGGACGAAAUCAAAAGGCAUGUCUACAGUAACUGAAGUGGGUGGGGUAAAAUUAAGUUAAUAUUCAAUCGCGCCUAAUUUAUCAUAGAUAUCGUACAGUAUUAUGUUUGGAGCAACGCAUACUUGUAAGUAAACGUGCAUUUGAUUUCUGGACCAUUAAUUCAUGAUUGAUUGACUUAUUUCUAUUGUAAAAAAGAUGAAACUAAAAGUAAAUCACGUAGUGAUCUGCAUGGGUGUCAGGUAGAUAAUUUACUGUACAGUAUAGAUAAAAUUCUUAUUUUUGUAUUUUCAGUCACCUCCAAGCAUUCCCUUAUUAUUUUUGUAUUUUCAGUCACCUCCAAGCAUUCCCUUAUCCAAAAUUGAUAUUAAAAGAGAAUGUUGAUGAGCCUGAUCCGUCGAUUCAAAUACCAUAACACAGCCAACCCCCAAAAAACAACAGCAAACCAGUGAGCAAGCUGACAAAGCUGCAACUUCAGGGAGCAAUUAUAAGGGUCAUCAAGAUGGAGCCAGGAUUCAUGAUGCUCGUAUUAGAGGUGCUGGACCAGAGUCUGAGGAAGGGAGUAGAACUCCAAGCUGGUUUGAGUGUGCUUCAACUGCCGGGACAUUUCAAUGCAGAGUUAAAGAGUUUGUUGUCGCCGGGAGGCCAGUCUUUCUCAAACUGCUGACUCUGACCUCCUUGUUUUGAAUGAAGAAGUUCUAACCCUUGCCCAUUUGAUGAGGCAGGAUUUCUUGUGUUCAUUGAUGAGGAGGACCAGGCGCAACCCAACCGCUACUAGGCGACUUAUAUUGUGUUCUGACACAGAGUUAUUUUUGGGCUGGUGACAAGAGGGCUAUUCCCUUAUGUUGUGUGGAGAGUCCAGGAAACCUUCCCGAUUCCCUAAGAACAAUACACUGGCCUUGUGCAAAGUGUUCUCUUGAUUUUCUUAAAUAUUAAAAUAUGAUUUAAACAAUAUCAGGUCAUUUUUGUAUACUUUUGUGAAUGACUUGUUAUUUUAUAAAUACUGAUUUGUACUGUCUUUGGUUGCUAAACUGUCAUUAAGUAAUUAUCUCGUUUCAAUUUGAAAGCCAGAAAACCUGCAUGUUAUGUAUACUCAUGUUAUUGUUUAUAUUUAUGCCCCCUCCGAGGAAGAGGGGUAUAUUGCAUUGCACAUGUUGGUCGGACGAUUCGCAGCUUUGUUGGUAGACCAAAGCUUUUAAGUGAUAACUCAACAACUGAAGGACAGAUGGUUAUCAAACUUGACAUGAAUGUUGGGCCUGACCAGUAGAUAACCCUAUUGAUUUAAGGGGUCAUCAGGUCCAAGUUCAAGAUCACAGUGACCUUUAAUGGUAUAAAGUUGUUAAAGCUUGUCCGAGAAAUAACUCAAAAAUACCUGAACGUACGGUAUGGUUAUCAAAUUUGACAUGGAGGCUGGGCCUGAUUAGUAGAUGACCCCUAUUGAUUUUAGGAGUCAUUGGGCCAAUGGUAACAGUCACAGUGACCUUUAAGUUGAAAAGGUUAACAAAGAUUCUCUGAGUGAUAUCACAACAAUGUCUGGCCCUAUGAUCAUCAAACUUGACAUUGAGGCUGGGUAUGACCAUAACUGAUUUAAGGAGUCAUUGGCCCUAAGUGACAAAAGUGCGUUAAGAAUGAACGAGUGAUAAAUCAACAAUGCCUGCACCCAUGGCUCUCAAACAUGAUAAGGGAAUUUGGCUUUACCAGUAGAUGGUUCAUUUUGAUUUCAGGGGUAAUCAGGUCAAAGGUGAAGGUUACAGUGACCUUGAAAGCAUAUUCGUGUGAUUACUUGACAAUGCCUGCACCCAUGGUUCUCAAACUUGCCAUCUAGGUUGGGGGUGACCAGUUGAUGAUCUUAUAUAUCUUGAAGUCAGAGGUCAACCUAUAUGCAUGAUUAAGUAUUUUGUCAUAUUUACUUAUUUCCUGCUGCUGAAAGGAUAUAUUUUUAUCUGCAAAUAUCAGUCAUCAUCUGAACAUGAUUUAGAACUUUACUUACUAUCCUCACACUUUGAACGGUCAUAAUCUUAAAACUGCCGCAAAGGCAUCUAAUGUCAAUGACAAGUCAGCUGUCAUUUCAGUCUUUGCAUAUUUAAUUCAAUUUGCGGAAUAAGCCUGACAAUUUGGCGCUCCUCAAGGGGAGGGGGUUCAUAUGUUUGACAAACAUCUCUUGUUUUUCUGUUUAAAAACGCUUUCAAAUGACACUCAAGCAAUAUGUCUGUUUGAAUCCAAAUUUCACAUUUUAUCUUUAAAAUGUGUCAUACCUUUCUCAACCUUGUUUAGAAAUAAUAAAAUGGACCUAAAGCAGGCUCAAUUUUGAUACAGCCCAUUUCUUAAGUAGAACAAAGAUUAAUGCAAAAAAACACUUUCCCACAAAGAAGUAAAUAACUGAAAUAAAUCCAUGAAGAUCCCA